rnacentral:rRNA from 1 species
GACGAACGCUGGCUGCGUGCUUAACACAUGCAAGUCGAACGAUGAAGCCUAGCUUGCUAGGUGGAUUAGUGGCGAACGGGUGAGUAAUACGUGAGUAACCUACCUUUAACUCUGGGAUAAGCCUGGGAAACUGGGUCUAAUACCGGAUACGACCAAUCUCCGCAUGGGGUGUUGGUGGAAAGCGUUAUGUAGUGGUUAUAGAUGGGCUCACGGCCUAUCAGCUUGUUGGUGAGGUAACGGCUCACCAAGGCGACGACGGGUAGCCGGCCUGAGAGGGUGACCGGCCACACUGGGACUGAGACACGGCCCAGACUCCUACGGGAGGCAGCAGUGGGGAAUAUUGCACAAUGGGCGCAAGCCUGAUGCAGCGACGCCGCGUGAGGGAUGACGGCCUUCGGGUUGUAAACCUCUGUUAGCAGGGAAGAAGAGAGAUUGACGGUACCUGCAGAGAAAGCGCCGGCUAACUACGUGCCAGCAGCCGCGGUAAUACGUAGGGCGCGAGCGUUGUCCGGAAUUAUUGGGCGUAAAGAGCUUGUAGGCGGUUUGUCGCGUCUGCUGUGAAAGGCCCGGAGCUUAACUCCCGUGUAUUGCAGUGGGUACGGGCAGACUAGAGUGCAGUAGGGGAGACUGGAAUUCCUGGUGUAGCGGUGGAAUGCGCAGAUAUCAGGAGGAACACCGAUGGCGAAAGGCAGGUCUCUGGGCUGUAACUGACGCUGAGAAGCGAAAGCAUGGGGAGCGAACAGGAUUAGAUACCCUGGUAGUCCAUGCCGUAAACGUUGGGCACUAGGUGUGGGGAACAUUCCACGUUUUCCGCGCCGUAGCUAACGCAUUAAGUGCCCCGCCUGGGGAGUACGGCCGCAAGGCUAAAACUCAAAGAAAUUGACGGGGGCCCGCACAAGCGGCGGAGCAUGCGGAUUAAUUCGAUGCAACGCGAAGAACCUUACCAAGGCUUGACAUAUACUGGACCGCAUCAGAGAUGGUGUUUCCCUUCGGGGCUGGUAUACAGGUGGUGCAUGGUUGUCGUCAGCUCGUGUCGUGAGAUGUUGGGUUAAGUCCCGCAACGAGCGCAACCCUCGUUCUAUGUUGCCAGCACGUUAUGGUGGGGACUCAUAGGAGACUGCCGGGGUCAACUCGGAGGAAGGUGGGGAUGACGUCAAAUCAUCAUGCCCCUUAUGUCUUGGGCUUCACGCAUGCUACAAUGGCCGGUACAGAGGGUUGCGAUACUGUGAGGUGGAGCUAAUCCCUAAAAGCCGGUCUCAGUUCGGAUUGGGGUCUGCAACUCGACCCCAUGAAGUCGGAGUCGCUAGUAAUCGCAGAUCAGCAACGCUGCGGUGAAUACGUUCCCGGGC